CAGUAGCCGCGGGAAUACAGAGGGUGCGAGCGUUAAUCGGAAUUACUGGGCGUAAAGGGAGCGUAGGCGGACAUUUAAGUCAGGGGUGAAAUCCCAGAGCUCAACUCUGGAACUGCCUUUGAUACUGGGUGUCUUGAGUGUGAUAGAGGUAUGUGGAACUCCGAGUGUAGAGGUGAAAUUCGUAGAUAUUCGGAAGAACACCAGUGGCGAAGGCGACAUACUGGAUCAUUACUGACGCUGAGGCUCGAAAGCGUGGGGAGCAAACAGGAUUAGAGACCCCGGUAGUCCCUGUCUCUUAUAC
rnacentral:rRNA from 1 species